AAGAAUCCGUUCCAACUUCCAAACCCACGUGUUUUCGUCCAACCUUGCAACUGCGGCGGCAACGUUCUAAAAUCCCGAAGGACCAGGCACAGCGUGCGCGGAAGCGGAGCAACGUUCUUCAACUUUCGAAGGGCAAGGUAGUGCUUUCCCGGUCAUGCGGCCACGAUCCAGGGUGGAGAGGGCAACGAGUGCGAAGAUCUCGGUAAGUUCCAGUUUCUACUGCACUUCCGAGAUCUCCUCCAACGGAAUCAAAAAGCUAGGGUUUUCCACGCACAAACCAUUUCCGUUUCACACACUCUAUUUUUCGUUUUUGUUUUGCUAUAUUAGGUUCUGUUUUACAACA
rnacentral:lncRNA from 1 species